UCCAGCUUUAUAUGUCUACCUGUCUAUAUAUUUCCACCCCAGCUCUAAAUAUAUGUAACUCUCUAUAUUUCCAGCUCCAUGUAUGUGCAGAUUGUCUAACACCUCUGCCUGGGGCAGGGAUGCACGACCUCCUGGCCACAGGCUCUUUGCUGGCGGUGGACCCAGACAGGCUCAUCAUCAAGAGGCUGGUGCUUAGCGGUCACCCCUUCAAAAUUUUCAGCAAGACGGCAGUCGUGCGGUACAUGUUCUUUACCAGAGAGGAUGUGCUGUGGUUUAAGCCUGUUGAGCUGAGAACAAAAUGGGGCCACAAGGGGACACAUCAAGGAGCCACUAGGGACCCAUGGCCACAUGAAGUGCCACUUUGAUGCACAGCUGAAGUCCCAGGACACGGUGCUGAUGAACCUGUACAAACGCGUCUUUCCCAAGUGGACGUAUGACCCGUAUGUGCCAGAGCCGGUGGCGUGGGUGAGAAACGAGGAGCCUGCCCCCGUGCCAGAGGUGGACACGGAGUAGCUCUUCGGAACCUGCGUCCAGGAUUCCCGAGGAGUCUCCUGGGUGCAGGCGUGUGUUAGCGUAGUGCCUUCCCACGCUGCUGCAGCCUCUGUUGUAUCUAUUUCAAUGGCAAAUAU